UAUUAAUUAAGGAGCAAUGGUAAAUAUCCGAAGCGUGUCAGGACCGGAAGGUAGCAGCACUAAGGAUACUUUAUCAUGUGCUCUUUUUUUAUUUAAUUUA
rnacentral:SRP_RNA from 1 species